rnacentral:rRNA from 1 species
UGAGCAAUCUGCCCUUCUCAUCGGAAUAACCAUUGGAAACGAUGGCUAAUGCCGAAUAUGACCUCGGAUCACAUGUUCUGAGGUGGAAAGCUCCGGCGGAGAAGGAUGAGCUCGCGGCCUAUCAGCUUGUUGGUGAGGUAAUGGCUCACAAGGCGACGACGGGUAGCCGGCCUGAGGAGGGUGACCCGGCCACACGUGGGACUGAGACACCGGCCCAGACCUCCG